rnacentral:rRNA from 1 species
UACGGGGGUGGCAAGCGUUGUUCGGAAUUACUGGGCGUAAAGGGUUCGUAGGUGGCUUGCUUAGUCAGACGUGAAAUCCCUCAGCUCAACUGGGGAACUGCGUCUGAUACUGGCGAGCUUGAGUGCAGGAGAGGGAUGCGGAAUUCCAGGUGUAGCGGUGAAAUGCGUAGAUAUCUGGAGGAACAACGGUGGCGAAGGCGGCGUCCUGGACUGCAACUGACACUGAGGAACGAAAGCCAGGGGAGCAAACGGG